AUUAAACGCUGGCGGCAUGCCUUACACAUGCAAGUCGAACGGUAGCGCGGGGCAACCUGGCGACGAGUGGCGAACGGGUGAGUAAAGCAUCGGAACGUGCCCUGGAAUGGGGGAUAACGUAGCGAAAGUUACGCUAAUACCGCAUAUUCUGUGAGCAGGAAAGCAGGGGAUCGCAUGACCUUGCGUUCUGGGAGCGGCCGAUGUCGGAUUAGCUAGUUGGUGGGGUAAAAGCCUACCAAGGCGACGAUCCGUAGCGGGUCUGAGAGGAUGAUCCGCCACACUGGGACUGAGACACGGCCCAGACUCCUACGGGAGGCAGCAGUGGGGAAUUUUGGACAAUGGGCGGAAGCCUGAUCCAGCCAUGCCGCGUGAGUGAAGAAGGCCUU
rnacentral:rRNA from 1 species